rnacentral:rRNA from 1 species
CCCUUAGAUGUUCUGGGCCGCACGCGCGCUACACUGACGAAUGCAACGAGCUUAUAACCUUGGCCGAAAGGUCUGGGUAAUCUCCAAAUUUCGUCGUGAUGGGGAUAGAUUAUUGCAAUUAUUAAUCUUCAACGAGGAAUGCCUAGUAAGCGCAAGUCAUCAGCUUGCGUUGAUUACGUCCCUGCCCUUUGUACACACCGCCCGUCGCUCCUACCGAUUGAAUGGUCCGGUGAAGCGUUCGGACCGUGGCCUUUGGACGGUUCGCCGUCUGUUGGCUGCGGGAAGUUCGUUAAACCUUAUCACUUAGAGGAAGUAAAAGUCGUAACA